rnacentral:lncRNA from 1 species
CUCAAACUCCUGGCCUCAGGUGAUCCGCCCGCCUCAGCCUCCCAAAGUGCUGCGAUUACAGGUGUGAGCCACUGCGCCCGGCCUAAUUUCUUCUUUCUAUUUUUCUUUAAUCACUGACUUGUCCUGUUCCAGGUUUUUAAAUCAAAAACUAAGUUCAUUUAUUUACAAAAUUUCUAAUUUUUUAAUUUCUAAGUUCAUUAAUAGUCAAUGCUUAUUAUUGUAUUAGCAAGGAAUGUCCAGAGAAAAAUAACCAAUAGAAGACUGGGGAAAAAAGAGAGAGAGGAUUCAUUAGAAGGUAUAUUGGGUUAAAUGGUUAUGAAGGCUGAGAAGUCCCACAGUCGGCUGUCUUUAAGCUGGAGACAGAGGAAAGACUAUAGUGUGGUUUGAAGGCCUGAGAUCCAGAUGCAACUCCUUGACCUUGGACUUCUAAGCCUCCAUAACUAUGAGAAAUGAAUUCCUUUUUUUUUAAAUAUAUAUUACUCAGUUCCAAGUAUUCUGUUAAACGCAACAGAAAACAGACUAAGCCACAGUCUGUGUCUGAAGGCCUGAGAACCGAGAAAGCCAAAGGCAGGAGAUCAAAGUCCCAACUGAAGCCAUCAGGCAGAGGGUGAAUUCAACUCUACCUUUUUGUUCUAUUCAGGCCCUCAGAGAAUGAAAUGAUUCCCACUCACAGUGAGCGGGGCGGGGUAGGCAUCUGCUUUACUCAGUCCACCAAUUCAAAUGCUCAUCUCUUCCAGAAACACCAUUACAGACACACCCGGAAAUAAUGUUUAACCAGCUAUCUUGGCAUCCCAUUGCUCAGAUGUUUAUGAGUUUAUGGGCUCCCUUCUCUGCUUGCUUCUUUGUACUUUGCUGAAAUCGUGGAGUGAAAACUUCAGCAUUGCAUUGGCCUUAUACAAUAUUGUAUUCAUCUGAGCAGUGGGAAAAUCAUAUCAUCAAAUAUUAAGCAGUCGGGCCUUAUACCUGACUCAGGAAGCCGGCUCUUUGGAAUGGAACAGGCAGUAGAAAAUGCAUGCCCCAAAGACACACUGGCAAUCAGUUCUGGACCUUCAAGCACAGCUGUGUAGAAGGGAUCUAGAGCACUCACUAAUGUAACCUGUUAAGUGCUCCUUCAGGGGCCACCGUCAUACGUAACUCAUGUCAGUGCUGAGGCCGAGGUCCUUCAGUGUUGAAGUAGAGAGUCUUCAGAGCCUGGGGUGUGUCUCCUCCCAAGCAACAGCUACGUCCAGGGACAAAUCGACUUCACAUUUAGUGUCUCUCAUCAAGGGAAAAGGACAGAGAGAGAAUAAGGAGGGAGGAGGAGAAGAAAGAAAGGAAUAAGAAGGGGGAAUGAAGAUGUGACAGAAAAGAGGCAGAUGAAUUUUAAAAAGGACAAAGAGAAUAAAAUGAGAAAGGGGAAAAAUACAAAACAAGAGAAUGUCAAAUGAAAAAUGAGGGCGGAAAAGUGUUAAAGAAAACAAUGCAAAUGAAGGGAGAAAGCUGCAAAUGUCUGUAUGCUGACUGGGUGGUGCCUGUGGUUGCUUUCUUGUCACUUCCAAGAAAAGUCUGGAAAUUCACUCAGAAUUUUGAGUUGCCUUCAGGUUCACACAUUUUCGGUAAGGAAUUAGAUGAAAGUGCAAGAUGCUGCCUUAAAUUUACUUCUUAGUUUAUUUCCAGGAAUCUUAAGAUCAUCCUGGGGCCUGGGAAGAAGCCUGUCAGUGAAACCCUCACCAAGUAUUUCACUCGGGAGAAAUCCAAGUGCAGGGCUUGUCAAAGGGAGGAAAAUCCUUAAAGUAGAGGAGACAGUUAGCUGAGAGUCUCAGGUGGAUACUCAUUCUAUAAUUUACCACUGACCCAGUCCCCUACCU